GGCGGGCCUCCCCGCAUUGCGCGAUAGAUAACCUGGUCAGGUUCGGAAGAAAGCAGCCACACCUACUCAAGCAAGUGCCGGGGAUCAGGCUCGCCUUA
rnacentral:SRP_RNA from 1 species